rnacentral:rRNA from 1 species
GAUGAACGCUGGCGGCGUGCCUAACACAUACAAGUCGAACGAAGCACCUUACCUGAUUCUUCGGAUGAAAGUUUGGUGACUGAGUGGCGGACGGGUGAGUAACGCGUGGGUAACCUGCCCUGUACAGGGGGAUAACAGCUGGAAACGGCUGCUAAUACCGCAUAAGCGCACGAGGAGACAUCUCCUUGUGUGAAAAACUCCGGUGGUACAGGAUGGGCCCGCGUCUGAUUAGCUGGUUGGCAGGGUAACGGCCUACCAAGGCAACGAUCAGUAGCCGGUCUGAGAGGAUGAACGGCCACAUUGGAACUGAGACACGGUCCAAACUCCUACGGGAGGCAGCAGUGGGGAAUAUUGCACAAUGGGGGAAACCCUGAUGCAGCAACGCCGCGUGAGUGAAGAAGUAUUUCGGUAUGUAAAGCUCUAUCAGCAGGGAAGAUAAUGACGGUACCUGACUAAGAAGCUCCGGCUAAAUACGUG